GUAGGAGGAACAUAUCAGUAAGCAAUGUCACCUCUUGAAGCCUUGAAUAUAUUAGCCUGCACAUCUGUUGCAGGCAACACUAGUCUGUUGCUGGGACUCUCCAUGGGAAAACCAGCAGCCACAGUGCCGACAAAGUGCUGUGGUUCACAGAUCAAACACUAGUGGCCCACUCGAAUUUAGAAUGUGGGUUGAAAUAUGACCGGCCCCGUCUAGGAAUAGGCGGGAUAUAGUGUUCCGUAGGUGAACCUGCGGAAGGAUCAUUACCGAGUUAGGGUCUCUCAGGCCCGACCUCCCACCCUCUGUGUACCUACCUUUGUUGCUUUGGCGGGACCGCUGGGGAGACCCACCGGCGGCCUUGCAGGCGGCCGAGCGCCCGUCAAAGACCCAUCAAACCCUGUUAAUCGUGCCGUCCGAGUACAAACACAAUAAUCAAAACUUUCAACAACGGAUCUCUUGGUUCUG
rnacentral:misc_RNA from 1 species